UACGUAGGGGGCGAGCGUUGUCCGGAUUUAUUGGGCGUAAAGAGCGUGUAGGCGGCCAGGUAGGUCAGCUGUGAAAACUCGAGGCUCAACCUCGAGACGCCGGUUGAAACCAUCUGGCUAGAGUCCGGAAGAGGAGAGUGGAAUUCCUGGUGUAGCGGUGAAAUGCGCAGAUAUCAGGAAGAACACCCGUGGCUAAGGCAGCUCUCUGGGACGGUACUGACGCUGAGACGCGAAAGCGUGGGGAGCGAACAGG
rnacentral:rRNA from 1 species